rnacentral:ncRNA from 22 species
AGAAUUUGACAUAAAUUAGGUUUUUCGUUGAAAAUUAAUAGGGAAAAAGGUUAGAAUCCUUUGCAGCCCCCGCUACUGUAGUACUGACGAAACUAUUAGACACCACUGUGAAUUUACGGGAAGGGAUAGGAGUAGAUUGAUGUAAAGCCAGGAGACCUGCCUAGUUUAUGAGAAUAAAA